UGGGGAAUAUUGCACAAUGGGCGCAAGCCUGAUGCAGCCAUGCCGCGUGUGUGAAGAAGGCCUUCGGGUUGUAAAGCACUUUCAGCGGGGAGGAAGGCGUUAAGGUUAAUAACCUUGGCGAUUGACGUUACCCGCAGAAGAAGCACCGGCUAACUCCGUGCCAGCAGCCGCGGUAAUACGGAGGGUGCAAGCGUUAAUCGGAAUUACUGGGCGUAAAGCGCACGCAGGCGGUUGAUUGAGUCAGAUGUGAAAUCCCCGGGCUUAACCCGGGAAUUGCAUCUGAUACUGGUCAGCUAGAGUCUUGUAGAGGGGGGUAGAAUUCCAUGUGUAGCGGUGAAAUGCGUAGAGAUGUAGAGGAAUACCGGUGGCGAAGGCGGCCCCCUGGACAAAGACUGACGCUCAGGUGCGAAAGCGUGGGGAGCAAACAGG
rnacentral:rRNA from 1 species